rnacentral:ncRNA from 1 species
CGCAGCGCGUGCUUCAUGAUGAUGCGGCUGCGCGGCAUGCCCUUCAGCGCCGCCGUGCGGAUGUAGGCGGUGGUCAUCACCUCGGCCAUCGAGGCCCGUGUCAUGCGGGCGAUGUAGCCGAAGCCGUAAAGCGUCAGCACGCUGACCGGCAGGA